GAUGAACGCUGGCGGCGUGCCUAAUACAUGCAAGUCGAGCGAACAGACGAGGAGCUUGCUCCUCUGACGUUAGCGGCGGACGGGUGAGUAACACGUGGAUCACCUACCUAUAAGACUGGGAUAACUUCGGGAAACCGGAGCUAAUACCGGAUAAUAUAUUGAACCGCAUGGUUCAAUAGUGAAAGACGGUUUUGCUGUCUCUUAUAGAUGGAUCCGCGCCGCAUUAGCUAGUUGUUAAGGUAACGGCUUACCAAGGCAACGAUGCGUAGCCGACCUGAGAGGGGGAUCGGCCACACUGGAGCUGAGACGCGGUCCAGACUACUACGGGAGGCAGCAGUAGGGAAUCGUCCGCAAUGGGCGAAAGCCUGACGGAGCAACGCCGCGUGAGUGAUGAAGGUCUUCGGAUCGUAAAACUCUGUUAUUAGGGAAGAACAAAUGUGUAAGUAACUAUGCACGUCUUGACGGUACCUAAUCAGAAAGCCACGGCUAACUACGUG
rnacentral:rRNA from 1 species